CACAAACUCCACUUAGUCGUGUUGAUUCAGGUUCCAGAAUACACCCAACCUAAUUUUUUAUUCAGUGCUUGUUUAAAGAUCUUAUUACUUAGGUUUCAAGAGAUACCAAGUAAUCCACAUUUAAGUCAAAGUAUCAGACAAUGAAACAAAAAGCCAUUCUUACUUUGUUGCAUUAAACUUUCAUUAAAUUCUUUUUAUCAAAAUGGUUAUUUUUCCACAGUGAAUAAGCAGUGAAUAUUUUUAGAGGAUUUUAUUACGUUUGUACACAAAAAUAGUUCCAUAGUCCUCUGUGCCUUUUAUUCCUUGCAAGUUUGCCAUUCAUGAACCAUUUCACCUUAAUAAAUCAUUUUCAGUUACCUGGAUUUCAGCAAAUGUAUAGCUGAACUUUUAUCUGCUAUUAGUACUUCUUACUAUUGCACAUAAUGGCAGGGAUAUUUGAAUAAUAUGCUCAGGUAUUUAUGUUCAUAUGUUCUCUCUCCAGACCAUUUGUUUUUGAAUAGUCAAAGGAAACUCAUUUCUGACCAUCAGAAAGAGUCAAUGAACAAUGGCAUAUGUUAAGCAAAAAUCACAGUGUAUUUCCCAAAA
rnacentral:lncRNA from 1 species